AAGGGCACCACAAGAACGCGUGGAGCAUGUGGCUUAAUUUGACUCAACGCGGGAAAUCUUACCGGGUCCGGACACACUGAGGAUUGACAGGCAAUAUUAAUACGUUGUUAGUUUCGCGACUCAGCACGUAUUAUGUUAAAUAUGCUAGUCCUUUCAUGAUUAUGUGAUAGGUGGUGCAUGGCCGUUCUUAGUUCGUGGAGUGAUCUGUCUGCUUAAUUGCGUUUCACUAAGGGCUUAUAAAUUUACGUGUGUUGCGGCACUUUGACCCCUUUCAAUUUAUUUUGAAAGCGCGUGUCUUAGUUUGCUUUGCUCACACAAUUAAGUCCUGAAAGCAACGAACGUGACCGCAACCUCUUGUUGCCUUUAUACCAAACAUGUUUAUUUAUAUAUAUAUUUUUUUAUAUAUAUAUGCAGUAUUCAUGAAAAAAGGCUUUUUAAACUAGAGGGACCGCUGUUACUUUCUUAAACCAGAGGAAGGUUGCGGCAAUAACAGGUCUGUGAUGCCCUUAGAUGUUCCGGGCUGCACACGUGCUACAAUGAUUAUUGCAGUGAGCAUCUCAUUUUUACACACCGCAUGCGCGAGUCCAUUUAUUCACUCUCUGAGUGUUUUAAAUGUGUAUCUCUGCGCGCGGUAAAGCCUGCUUCGAGAGCAAGUGGGUAAUCAAUUAGAAGUAAUGAUUUCCGUAUUAGCACACAUAUAUACGGCAUCUUUACCCGGGUUACCUUGUUGUAACUUUUGUGCGUAUAGAUGUUUUUUCCGUAUGUGCGAUUGUCAAUUCAUGGUGGGGACAGACCAUUGUUAAUUGUUGGUCUCGGUCUUAACUAGGAAUGCCUUGUACGGGUCUUUGGUUCAACAAACCACCCGGAAUACGUCCCUGCCCUUUGUACACACCGCCCGUCGCUCUUACCGAUGGACUUCUCUGUGAGUUUGAGGGACUGGGAACGCAGCAAAAUUUUAUUAUUUUCUCGCACACCUAUGGAAACUUAAACGAACAGUGUGGUCUAAAGGAAAGAGAAGUCGAACAAGGCA
rnacentral:rRNA from 1 species